CUACAUGGAAUGUAAUGUACUGCGGUUUCCCUUUGUGGAAAGGUAAUCCAGUUUCUUGUAACUUAACUUGGAAGGAAGGAUGGCUCUGUAAGAAAGAAGCAGCAUUUGCAGAAAAUGAGGUUGGUGAUAGCAGAACUGUUAUGCCGGAGAAAAUAGAGAGACGAUGAGGGCGCACAAGCCCUUUUUUCCAAGAAAAGCAAGGGAGAAGCUUGUGUUCUAGCAUGGACUGAUUUGCUCAGCAGGUCCAUAGUUUAUGAAGAUCAGCUGAUUUCCCCAGGCACUGUGGUUACAAAAUUGCGAUAAUUAUUUUGUGAUUGGAAGAAACUGGCAAGUGCAGGAAUAUAACCAUAUUUGGAAAGAAGCUGAGGUUUCAAAUCCUGUUUGACGUGGUUUUGACUGGUAGCCAAAACAAUGACCACUUUACUAUUUUAAAGAUUCCUAAGAUUUUGGUAAGGAACUUUGUUCAUGCUGUCCUUUCAUUUCAGUUUGGGAAAUAAAUUAACAGUUCAUUUUUUAAGGCUGGGAGAGAAUUUACUCUAGCGUUUCUCUGUAGGAAUGAACAUAACAUGUAAGAAUCAUGCAUAGAGAUUUUUAGUUUAUCUGUGAAUUUGGGUUGUAUAUUUAUACAAUAUUCAAUAUUAAGCCAUUGCUAGACCCAGCUGCUCUGGACAAUUUUCUUUUGAAAAUGUUGAAAAUGUUUUGAAAUGUUUCUUUCUUUUGAGAAGGUCAUCAUGCAGCAGCAUCAGAGAUCCUGGAUGAAGUGGAUUAUCUGAACCCCCUUGAUUCAGACCUGGGUAUGGGACCAAAAUGGCAUCAGUUGCACUUUUGGAUGAUCUCUGAAAGACCCCAAUUUCACCCACCCAUCCCAUCAGGUCUGGCAGGAUGGACAUGCUGGGGGUCCUCUCAGCCAGAGAGUGUAAUCUGGUGGGGCCCAGGAAGAGGCUGCUUUCUGCUAUGGCACUUGCCCUGUGGAACAUCUGCCCCACAGAGAUCAGAUUGGCCCUGACCCUGCUGGCCUUUGGCAAGGCCCUGAAAACAUGGUUGUGCCAAUGGGCAUGGAGCCCUGGGAGUGUGGUGGGGCUGGCCAGUGGCUGUACUGAGUGUUUUGGUGGAUGUGAUUACCUCAGUUGUGAGUUUUAUGUAUUCUGUGCUGGUUUUUUAUAUGCUUUCAUAUGCUUUUUUCUUGUUUUUAAAUUGUUGUAUUGUUUUUUCUUGUUUUAUAUUUGUUUUGUUUGUAAGCUGCCCAGAGUCAUAUAUAUGAAAAGGGCAGCUACAUAAAUUGGACAAACAAACAAACAAAACAAACAAUGUCCUAUGUAGAGAUGCAGGAAAAAUAUGUACCUAUACCAGUGAAAUAUGUCAUUGCAAAAAGGCUUGCUUGCUUGAUUUAAUAAAUCUAUACAGCUGCCUAUUUACCAAUGG